rfam:Oryctolagus cuniculus chromosome 2, whole genome shotgun sequence.
AGACUGGAAAUCUCUGCAGGCAAAUGUGAUGUCACUGAGGAAAUCACACACUUACCCGUAGAGAUUCUUCAGUCU